rnacentral:rRNA from 1 species
GACGAACGCUGGCGGCGUGCCUAAUACAUGCAAGUCGAACGCAGUGGGGACGGGUGAGUAACACGUGGGUAACCUCCCAUCAGAGGGGAUAACACUUGGAAACAGGUGCUAAAACGAUACUGAUGGAUGGACCCGCGGUGCAUUAGCUAGUUGGUGAGGUAACGGCGCACCAAGGCCACGAUGCAUCGCGUGCCUGAGAGGAUUAUCGGCCACACUGGGACUGAGACACGGCCCAGAUUCCUACGGUAGGCAGCAGUAGGGAAUCUUCGGCAAUGGACGAAAGUCUGACCGAGCAACGCCGCGUGAGUGAAGAAGGUUUUCGGAUCGUAAAACUCUGUUGUUAGAGAGGCGGUACCUAACCAGAAAGCCACGGCUAACUACGUGCCAGCAGCCGCGGUAAUUC